rnacentral:misc_RNA from 1 species
GAUGAAGAACGCAGCGAAAUGCGAUAAGUAAUGUGAAUUGCAGAAUUCAGUGAAUCAUCGAAUCUUUGAACGCACCUUGCGCCCUUUGGCCAUUCCGAAGGGCAUGCCUGUUUGAGUAUCAUGAACACCUCAACUCUUUAUGGUCUUCCAUGAUGAGCUUGGACUCUGGGGGUUUUGCUGGCUCACAGUCGGCUCCUCUAAAAUGAAUCAGCUUACCAGUGUUUGGUGGGUAUCAUGGGUGUGAUAACUAUCUACGCUUGUGGUUUUUCCACCAGGUAACCUUCAGCAGUGGAGGUUCGCUGGAGCUCAUAGAUGUCUCUCCUCAGUGAGGACAGCCCUUUGAAUGUUUGAUCUCAAAUCAGGUAGGACUACCCGCUGAACUUAAGCAUAUCAAUAAGCGGAGGA